UGAGGAAUAUUGGUCAAUGGACGAGAGUCUGAACCAGCCAAGUCGCGUGAAGGAAGACGGCCCUACGGGUUGUAAACUUCUUUUGUAAGGGAAUAAAAGUCUUACGGGAUAAGACGUUGCAGGUACCUUACGAAUAAGGAUCGGCUAACUCCGUGCCAGCAGCCGCGGUAAUACGGAGGAUCCGAGCGUUAUCCGGAUUUAUUGGGUUUAAAGGGUGCGCAGGCGGCAUGUUAAGUCGGCGGUGAAAUUUUGCAGCUCAACUGUAAAAGAGCCUUCGAAACUGGCAAGCUUGAGUGUGGAUGAAGUAGGCGGAAUUUGUGGUGUAGCGGUGAAAUGCAUAGAUAUCACAAAGAACACCGAUUGCGCAGGCAGCUUACUAAACCAUAACUGACGCUCAUGCACGAAGGCGUGGGGAUCAAACAG
rnacentral:rRNA from 1 species